AGUUCUGUAGCUUAAUCGGCAGAGCAAGGGAUUCAUAAGCCCAAGGUUAUAGGUUCAAAUCCUAUCAGAACUAC
rnacentral:tRNA from 1 species